rfam:Bombyx mori DNA, contig: Bm_scaf24_contig16329, strain: p50T/Dazao, build 2, whole genome shotgun sequence.
UUAAUUCAAAUUUGUAUGGAGUUGGAACGUUUGCGUACGUUUGCCGCUAGGGGCGCUGUUCCAACUGCAUACAAAAAUUUGAAUUA